AUUCAUUCCCUCCCACGGUGGAUGCGGACGCCGGGAGGAGCGCAGCCCCGGAGCGAGGAGCUGGGAGCCGCGGCGCAGAGAACGCGUAGCGACUCCGAAGAUCAGCCCCAAUGAACAUGUCAGUGUUGACUUUACAAGAAUAUGAAUUCGAAAAGCAGUUCAACGAGAGUGAAGCCAUCCAAUGGAUGCAGGAGAACUGG